AUGAACGUUGGCGGCGUGGAUUAGGCAUGCAAGUCGAGCGCGAACCGUAGCAAUACGGGGGGAGCGGCGAAAGGGAGAGGAAUACGUGGAUACCUACCCUCAGGUUCAGGAUAGCUGUGGGAAACUACAGGUAAUACUGAAUAAUAUCUCCGGAUCAAAGGUGUGAUUCCACCUGAGGAGGGGUCCGCGUCCUAUUAGCUUGUUGGCGAGGUAACGGCUCACCAAGGCGAAGAUGGGUAUGGGAUGUGAGAGCAUGAUCCCACUCACUGGGACUGAGACACUGCCCAGACACCUACGGGUGGCUGCAGUCGAGAAUCUUCGGCAAUGGGGGAAACCCUGACCGAGCGACGCCGCGUGUGAGAUGAAGGCCUUCGGGUUGUAAAUCACUGUCAGAGGGGAGGAAGGCGCGGCCGUUAAUACCGGUCGCUGCUUGACGGUACCUUCAAAGGAAGCUCCGGCUAACUACGU
rnacentral:rRNA from 1 species